GAAGGUGUAUCUAGAAAGACAAAUUAGAGCUUGGAAAGUAAAGCAUUUCAUUUACAUUGAAAAGUAUAUUGUGUAAUUCAAUUUAAUUUGAUAAUAAUAAAAAUUUAUUAAUUUUUUUUGUUUAAAAAAUUAUUUAAUAAAAUUAAUUUUAGAUUAAUUUUUUUUGUACAGUAUAUAGAUCAAAUAAUUUAUAUAAUAGUUAAUUAGUAUUGUAAAAGAAUAUUGAAAUAUAUGAAAAAGUUUUAAAUUAAAAGUAAAUUUUAUAUAUUGUACCUUGUGUAUCAGGGUUUAUUAAUUAAAAGUUAAAAAUUUAAUUUUUCUCGAAUUUAAGAGGGUUAAUUUAUUAUUUAAUUUUUUGUUUCAUAAAAAUUUAAAAUAAUAAAUUAGAAAUGAAAUGUUAUUCGUUCUUAAAUAUAUCUAGUUUUUUAAGAAAUAAAUUAAAUUUAGAUUAUUAAUAGAUAAUUAGUUAUUUAAAUAAUAAAUUAUUAUUAAUAGUUAAUAUUUUAGGGGAUAAGCUUUAAAGUAAAUUUUAUAAUAAUUUUUUAAUUUGAAAAUUAUAGAUUUAGAAAUAGUCAUUAAUUGUAAAAAUGUUAUAAUUUAUUUUAAAUUAAAAAUAAUUUUUAUUAAUUUAAGUUUUUAUUAAAAUAAUUUUUAGAAUUAUAUAAGAAUUAAAAUAAUGAUAAAAUUAGUAUAUUUAAUUGUUUUAAAAAUAUUGAUUGAAAGGUUAAAUUAAGGAACUUGGCAAAUAAAUACUCGCCUGUUUAACAAAAACAUGUCUUUUUGAAUAUAAUUUAAAGUCUAAUCUGCCCACUGAAAAAUUUUAAAGGGCCGCGGUAUU
rnacentral:rRNA from 1 species